UACGUAGGGUGCGAGCGUUGUCCGGAAUUAUUGGGCGUAAAGGGCUCGUAGGCGGUCUGUCACGUCGGGAGUGAAAACUCAGGGCUUAACCCUGAGCCUGCUUCCGAUACGGGCUGACUAGAGGUAUGCAGGGGAGAACGGAAUUCCUGGUGUAGCGGUGAAAUGCGCAGAUAUCAGGAGGAACACCGGUGGCGAAGGCGGUUCUCUGGGCAUUACCUGACGCUGAGACGCGAAAGCGUGGGGAGCAAACAGG
rnacentral:rRNA from 1 species